rnacentral:rRNA from 1 species
AGAUUGAACGCUGGCGGCAGGCCUAACACAUGCAAGUCGAGCGGUAGAGAGGUGCUUGCACCUCUUGAGAGCGGCGGACGGGUGAGUAAUGCCUAGGAAUCUGCCUAGUGGUGGGGGAUAACGUUCGGAAACGGACGCUAAUACCGCAUACGUCCUACGGGAGAAAGCGGGGGACCUUCGGGCCUCGCGCCAUUAGAUGAGCCUAGGUCGGAUUAGCUAGUUGGUGAGGUAAUGGCUCACCAAGGCGACGAUCCGUAACUGGUCUGAGAGGAUGAUCAGUCACACUGGAACUGAGACACGGUCCAGACUCCGUACGGGAGCAGCAGGUGGGAAUAUUGGACAAUGGGCGAAAGCCUGAUCCAGCCAUGCCGCGUGUGUGAAGAAGGUCUCGGUAAUUGUAAAGCUAACUUUAAGUGGAGGAAGGUUGCGAAUUAAUACCGUUAGACUAACUUUGACGUUACCGACAGAAUAAGCACCGGCUAACUUCGU